GUGGGGAAUCUUCCGCAAUGGACGAAAGUCUGACGGAGCAACGCCGCGUGAGUGAAGAAGGUUUUCGGAUCGUAAAGCUCUUUCGUUAGGGACGAACGUGCUCUUUGUGAAUAAUGAGGAGUAAUGACGGUACCUAAAUAAGAAGCCACGGCUAACUACGUGCCAGCAGCCGCGGUAAUACGUAGGGGGCAAGCGUUGUCCGGAAUUAUUGGGCGUAAAGCGCGCGCAGGCGGGAUAUCAAGUCUGUCUUAAAAGUGCGAGGCUCAACCUCGUGAGGGGACAGAAACUGGUAUUCUUGAGUGUCGGAGAGGAAAGUGGAAUUCCAAGUGUAGCGGUGAAAUGCGUAGAGAUUUGGAAGAACACCAGUGGCGAAGGCGACUUUCUGGACGAUGUCUGACGCUGAGGCGCGAAAGCUAGGGGAGCGAACGGGAUUAGAUACCCCUGUAGUCC
rnacentral:rRNA from 1 species